CUGAGCCGCGUCGCUUUGGGGAUGGGGGUGGGGGGGUAAGGGGAGAAUUUCUUCCCAGUCUCUGUGUCACCCACCCAGGGUAUGGUCCUUCCUGCCGCCCACCAAUUCAUUUCCUUCCCGGUGGAUAAAUCACUUGGAUUCCGCGCGCCUGCCACCUCCAGCAGGUUCUCAGGAUCUGGGGGCGAAGUGGGGCGCGCUCCCACCGACUGGCGUCGAGCACAAGAGACCCUCCCUCAUCUCAGGUGAGACUUUCCGCCCAUCAAUAUCAGCUCCGUGCCCUUGAUUCAGGAUCGACAGAAAUCCAGACCAGUGAAUUUCCUUUUGACUUCAGUUCAUGGUAAGCUUUUUAUUUAAGUACAACAUAUACGGAAGGGGGGCAGAGCACAGGGGGAAUGCCCCAGUGAAGCCAGCGCCCAGAAGCCCCUUUGCACCUCCUCCCACCAGCCCAGGGCAAAAUGAUCUUGACUUCUAACUCUAGAUGUUAGUUUUCGCCUGUUUUUGAACUUCGUAAGCCUCAAAUCAGGCAAGAUGUACUUUUUUCCUAUCUGACUUCUGCUCUGUGAAUCUAAUGCGUGUGACACUCUUCCGCGUCCUUGGGUGCCGCUGGAUCUGUCCCUUCUCACUGCUGUGUAUUCAACGCAACUGUGUGAUCAGACUAUCACUGCUCCUGGGAACCCUGGGCCUUUGCAUUGCCUCCAGUUUGGGGCCGUAAGUCCUGCUCUGAACGUUCGUCUGGGAUGGACACAUGUGCUUAUUUUCUAUUCGUUAUUUACCCAGGAGUGAAAUUGUCAGAUCAUAGAAUAUGUAUAUGCUCCGCUUUCGAAAAUACUAACCAGAUGUGUUGCGGGCCACUCCUGAAAAAAAAAAAGUUGAAAACCGUUAGAGGUUCCACUUUUUUCGUCCUCAUCAUGAAAAUAGGUUGUAAAGAGUCCCUUGGUGGUGGCGGGGGGGGGGGGGGUGGUGAUGAAAAAUAAAUAUUCUUAGAGCUGAAGUUACUUACUCUAUGGAGGAGAAGAACAUCAAGGAGAAAACUGGCCCUCUUGUCCGCCAAUGGGCAGGCAUUUGGGGAAGCCUGAGGAAGUGUCUUCCCAGUUUGUCAUUUUAAAAUUAAAACCUGCCACGUGGCUCCAUCCAGAGGACUGCAAGUGUCUCAGCCGUCUCCAAUCUACCCCCACCCCCGCCCCCCAAAGGCAUCUCUCAGCUCAGGUUUCCAGAAAUCCAGACUGCAUCCCCACCAUUUUCAGGCUAGAUGCUAGGUAUACUCUGGAAGAUGCUGACUUUCCAGGAGCUGCCUAGAAGCCUCAAGAGCCAGAGAAGCCGUUGUUCAGGACAUAAAUCCUCGAGGUGCACACAGAUUUGGAAGCUAGAGUUCUAAUGGGUGAUGUUAUUUCCCCCUUUGGGUCCUGGUUCCUCCAUCCGCAAGAUGGGUAUAAGAAUGAGAGUCCAUAGGCUGCUGGGCUAGUGAACAGGAGAGCCUGGAAUGCAUGAACCCCAGUUAGCGCAUUGCUCGGGGCUUGAUCCUCAGUAAAAUAUUA